AUUGAACGCUGUCGGCAGGCCUAACACAUGCAAGUCGAACGGUAACAGGAAGAAGCUUGCUUCUUUGCUGACGAGUGGCGGACGGGUGAGUAAUGUCUGGGAAACUGCCUGAUGGAGGGGGAUAACUACUGGAAACGGUAGCUAAUACCGCAUAACGUCGCAAGACCAAAGAGGGGGACCUUCGGGCCUCUUGCCAUCGGAUGUGCCCAGAUGGGAUUAGCUAGUAGGUGGGGUAACGGCUCACCUAGGCGACGAUCCCUAGCUGGUCUGAGAGGAUGACCAGCCACACUGGAACUGAGACACGGUCCAGACUCCUACGGGAGGCAGCAGUGGGGAAUAUUGCACAAUGGGCGCAAGCCUGAUGCAGCCAUGCCGCGUGUAUGAAGAAGGCCUUCGGGUUGUAAAGUACUUUCAGCGGGGAGGAAGGGAGUAAAGUUAAUACCUUUGCUCAUUGACGUUACCCGCAGAAGAAGCACCGGCUAACCCCGUGCCAGCAGCCGCGGUAAUACGGAGGGUGCAAGCGUUAAUCGGAAUUACUGGGCGUAAAGCGCACGCAGGCGGUUUGUUAAGUCAGAUGUGAAAUCCCCGGGCUCAACCCCGGGAACUGCAUCUGAUACUGGCAAGCUUGAGUCUCGUAGAGGGGGGUAGAAUUCCAGGUGUAGCGGUGAAAUGCGUAGAGAUCUGGAGGAAUACCGGUGGCGAAGGCGGCCCCCUGGACGAAGACUGACGCUCAGGUGCGAAAGCGUGGGGAGCAAACAGGAUUAGAUACCCUGGUAGUCCACGCCGUAAACGAUGUCGACUUGGAGGUUGUGCCCUUGAGGCGUGGCUUCCGGAGCUAACGCGUUAAGUCGACCGCCUGGGGAGUACGGCCGCAAGGUUAAAACUCAAAUGAAUUGACGGGGGCCCGCACAAGCGGUGGAGCAUGUGGUUUAAUUCGAUGCAACGCGAAGAACCUUACCUGGUCUUGACAUCCACAGAACUUUCCAGAGAUGGAUUGGUGCCUUCGGGAACUGUGAGACAGGUGCUGCAUGGCUGUCGUCAGCUCGUGUUGUGAAAUGUUGGGUUAAGUCCCGCAACGAGCGCAACCCUUAUCUUUUGUUGCCAGCGGUCCGGCCGGGAACUCAAAGGAGACUGCCAGUGAUAAACUGGAGGAAGGUGGGGACGACGUCAAGUCAUCAUGGCCCUUACGACCAGGGCUACACACGUACUACAAUGGCGCAUACAAAGAGAAGCGACCUCGCGAGAGCAAGCGGACCUCAUAAAGUGCGUCGUAGUCCGGAUUGGAGUCUGCAACUCGACUCCAUGAAGUCGGAAUCGCUAGUAAUCGUGGAUCAGAAUGCCACGGUGAAUACGUUCCCGGGCCU
rnacentral:rRNA from 1 species